AUUGAACGCUGGCGGCAGGCCUAACACAUGCAAGUCGAGCGGUAGAGAGGUGCUUGCAUCUCUUGAGAGCGGCGGACGGGUGAGUAAUGCCUAGGAAUCUGCCUAGUGGUGGGGGAUAACGUUCGGAAACGGACGCUAAUACCGCAUACGUCCUACGGGAGAAAGCGGGGGAUCUUCGGACCUCGCGCCAUUAGAUGAGCCUAGGUCGGAUUAGCUAGUUGGUGAGGUAAUGGCUCACCAAGGCGACGAUCCGUAACUGGUCUGAGAGGAUGAUCAGUCACACUGGAACUGAGACACGGUCCAGACUCCUACGGGAGGUAGCAGUGGGGAAUAUUGGACAAUGGGCGAAAGCCUGAUCCAGCCAUGCCGCGUGUGUGAAGAAGGUCUUCGGAUUGUAAAGCACUUUAAGUUGGGAGGAAGGGUAGUAACCUAAUACGUUGCUACUUUGACGUUACCGACAGAAUAAGCACCGGCUAACUUCGUGCCAGCAGCCGACGG
rnacentral:rRNA from 1 species